GGCUUCCAGAGUGGUGUAGUGGUUUGAAUGCUGGACUAUGACUCUGGAGACCGGGGUUUGAAUCCAGGCUCAGCCA
rnacentral:tRNA from 1 species